CGUGCUAAUCUGCGAUAAGCGCCGGUAAGGUGAUAUGAACCGUUAUAACCGGCGAUACCCGAAUGGGGAAACCCAGUGUGAUUCGUCACACUAUCAUUAACUGAAUCCAUAGGUUAAUGAGGCGAACCGGGGGAACUGAAACAUCUAAGUACCCCGAGGAAAAGAAAUCAACCGAGAUUCCCCCAGUAGCGGCGAGCGAACGGGGAGGAGCCCAGAGCCUGAAUCAGCAUGUGUGUUAGUGGAAGCGUCUGGAAAGGCGCGCGAUACAGGGUGACAGCCCCGUACACAAAAGCGCAUGUGCUGUGAGCUCGAUGAGUAGGGCGGGACACGUGGUAUCCUGUCUGAAUAUGGGGGGACCAUCCUCCAAGGCUAAAUACUCCUGACUGACCGAUAGUGAACCAGUACCGUGAGGGAAAGGCGAAAAGAACCCCGGCGAGGGGAGUGAAAAAGAACCUGAAACCGUGUACGUACAAGCAGUGGGAGCACAGGUUUACCUGUGUGACUGCGUACCUUUUGUAUAAUGGGUCAGCGACUUAUAUUCUGUAGCAAGGUUAACCGAAUAGGGGAGCCGGAGGGAAACCGAGUCUUAAUUGGGCGUUAAGUUGCAGGGUAUAGACCCGAAACCCGGUGAUCUAGCCAUGGGCAGGUUGAAGGUUGGGUAACACUAACUGGAGGACCGAACCGACUAAUGUUGAAAAAUUAGCGGAUGACCUGUGGCUGGGGGUGAAAGGCCAAUCAAACCGGGAGAUAGCUGGUUCUCCCCGAAAGCUAUUUAGGUAGCGCCUCGUGAAUUCAUCUCCGGGGGUAGAGCACUGUUUCGGCUAGGGGGCCAUCCCGGCUUACCAACCCGAUGCAAACUGCGAAUACCGGAGAAUGUUAUCACGGGAGACACACGGCGGGUGCUAACGUCCGUCGUGAAGAGGGAAACAACCCAGACCGCCAGCUAAGGUCCCAAAGUCAUGGUUAAGUGGGAAACGAUGUGGGAAGGCCCAGACAGCCAGGAUGUUGGCUUAGAAGCAGCCAUCAUUUAAAGAAAGCGUAAUAGCUCACUGGUCGAGUCGGCCUGCGCGGAAGAUGUAACGGGGCUAAACCAUGCACCGAAGCUGCGGCAGCGAACGUAUCACCCAAGACAACUUUACGGAGUUGACGAUUGACGGAGCGAAGCGACGUCAAAGCGUUCAUUAAAGUCGAGUUGGCUUAGGGAUACGUUCGUUGGGUAGGGGAGCGUUCUGUAAGCCUGUGAAGGUGUGUCGUGAGGC
rnacentral:rRNA from 1 species